rnacentral:misc_RNA from 1 species
GGAAGUAAAAGUCGUAACCAAGGUUCCCGUAGGUGAACCUGCGGAAGGAUCAUUAUCGUACAAAAUGUGAGGGGCAUGCGAGGGCUGUCGCUGACCCAAAAGUCGUGCACGCCCGAGUGUGUCCUCUUGCAUAAUAAUCCAUCUCACCCUUUGUGCAUCACCGCGUGGGCACCCUUCGGGAUCAUCUCGGGGGGGGGCUCGCGUUUUCACACAAACCCCCCUUUUAAAAGUGUAGAAUGACCACAUUUAUGCAAUCAAUACAACUUUCAACAACGGAUCUCUUGGCUCUC